UACAGAGGGUGCAAGCGUUAAUCGGAAUUACUGGGCGUAAAGCGUGCGUAGUCGGUUAUUUAAGUCGGGUGUGAAAGCCCCGGGCUCAACCUGGGAAUUGCAUUCGAUACUGGAUAGCUAGAGUUCGGCAGAGGGAUGCGGAAUUCCAGGUGUAGCGGUGAAAUGCGUAGAUAUCUGGAGGAACACCGGUGGCGAAGGCGGCAUCCUGGACCAACACUGACGCUGAUGAGCGAAAGCCAGGGGAGCAAACGGG
rnacentral:rRNA from 1 species